UGGUUUAUUCUCAUUAUCAUUCACUUAUUUCAUUGCUUAUCACCUAAGACUAGUUUAUUUACCACUUUUCAAUUCUAAAAAUGUAGAGAGGGUCAUAUUAUUUACCUGCUUACUCCUACUGAGUCAAUAUAAAUGUUGGGAUCAAAAGAAUUUGUUAGAUCUCUCUGACUUCGGUGGCCAUGUGGAUUCUCAGGAAUCUUAUGGAAUGCCAGGGUGAAUGGAAUGGCCAAUCGAACUAAGGCACAAAUCCCAGUCCAAUUGAAUGGUAGUAGCUCAUGGAGGUUCCUCUUUCCACAAUACCACCAGACAUCAGCCUGGGGUACAUGAAGAGUCAAGUAGUUGCCUUUGUUUGACUCACCAGUAAUGUUUAGGAUGAAAAUAGCAACAAUUCCAUUUGUCAUUUGACUUGCUUUGCCCUAGAACAUUUGCAAAACAUCCAUCUGUCUUCUGAGCAACAACAUUCAAUUUGUUAAAAUUCAUAGUAAUAAUGGAAUGCAACCAUAUCCAGCCAAACUAAGCUUCGUAAGUGAAGGAGAAAUAAAAUACUUUACAGACAAGCAAAUACUGCUGAUGCUUUCUUAGGUAUCUGAGUGGCCACCCUGACUAGGCUUUUACAGGCUGACAGAUGGAUGUUUUAGAUAGGUAGACACAUUUUCACGUAAGGUUUAAGUGGAAAGGAAACAAGUGUCACUUUUAAUGCUGAUGAAUUCUGGUAAUGAGAUUCUUGUUGGAGGAGGAUUAUGGGCACAUCCCUUUUUGGCAGCUUUCCAUGGAGUGAAGAGGA
rnacentral:lncRNA from 1 species